AUUGAACGCUGGCGGAAGGCCUAACACAUGCAAGUCGAGCGGAUGAAGGGAGCUUGCUUCUGGAUUCAGUGGCGGACGGGUGAGUAAUGCCUAGGAAUCUGUCUGGUCGUGGGGGAUAACGUCCGGAAACGGGCGCCAAUACCGCAUAAGUACUGAGGUAGAACGUGGGGGAUCUUCGGAACCCACGCUAUCAGAUGAGCCUAGGUCGGAUUAGCUAGUUGGUGGGGUAAAGGCCUACCAAGGCGACGAACCGUAACUCGUCUGAGAGGAUGAUCAGUCGCACUGGAACUGAGACACGGCCCAAACUCCUACAGGAAGGAGCAGUACGCAAUAUUGGAGAAUGCGCGGAAGCCUGAUCCAACCAGGCCGCGUGUGUGAAGAAGGACUUCUGAUUGUAAAGCACUUUAAGUUGGGAGGUAAGGCAGUAAGUUAAUAGCUGGCUGUAUUGACGUUACCAACAGAAGAAGCACCGGCUAACUACGUG
rnacentral:rRNA from 1 species